GACGGAGGGGGCUAGCGUUGUUCGGAAUUACUGGGCGUAAAGAGCGCGUAGGCGGUUUGGUAAGUUGGAAGUGAAAUCCCGGAGCUUAACUUCGGAAUUGCUUUCAAAACUAUUAAACUAGAGUACGGUAGGGGGUGAUGGAAUUCCAAGUGUAGAGGUGAAAUUCUUAGAUAUUUGGAGGAACACCGGUGGCGAAGGCGGUCACCUGGGCCGGUACUGACGCUGAGGUGCGAAAGCGUGGGGAGCAAACAGG
rnacentral:rRNA from 1 species